AGUGAACGCUGGCGGUAGGCCUAACACAUGCAAGUCGAACGGCAGCACAGUAAGAGCUUGCUCUUACGGGUGGCGAGUGGCGGACGGGUGAGGAAUACAUCGGAAUCUACUUUUUCGUGGGGGAUAACGUAGGGAAACUUACGCUAAUACCGCAUACGACCUACGGGUGAAAGCAGGGGAACUUCGGACCUUGCGCGAUUGAAUGAGCCGAUGUCGGAUUAGCUAGUUGGCGGGGUAAAGGCCCACCAAGGCGACGAUCCGUAGCUGGUCUGAGAGGAUGAUCAGCCACACUGGAACUGAGACACGGUCCAGACUCCUACGGGAGGCAGCAGUGGGGAAUAUUGGACAAUGGGCGCAAGCCUGAUCCAGCCAUACCGCGUGGGUGAAGAAGGCCUUCGGGUUGUAAAGCCCUUCUGUUGGGAAAGAAAAGCAGCAGGUUAAUACCCCGCUGUUCUGACGGUACCCAAAGAAUAAGCACCGGCUAACUUCGUG
rnacentral:rRNA from 1 species